rnacentral:lncRNA from 1 species
AAAGGCAUAGGAAAAUGGUUUGCCUUAAAAUGCUGUUUAUUCCCAGAUUAAGAGUUUGUGUUGGUCAAAUGUAAUCAUUUUGUAUUUGCUAGAAAAGAUCUAUAAACUUGCUGUUUUUUUUUCUUCUUAGAACAACAAAACAGCGCAGAAGCACAAACAAAUCAGCUUUUAGUAUCAACCACGUGUCAAGGCAGGUCACGUCCUCUGGCGUCAGCCACGGCGGCACUGUCAGCCUGCAGGAUGCUGUGACUCGACGGCCUCCUGUAUUGGACGAGUCUUGGAUUCGUGAACAGACCACAGUGGACCACUUCUGGGGUCUUGAUGAUGAUGGUGAUCUUAAAGGUGGAAAUAAAGCUGCCAUUCAGGGAAACGGGGAUGUGGGAGCCGCCGCCGCCACCGCGCACAACGGCUUCUCCUGCAGCAACUGCAGCAUGCUGUCCGAGCGCAAGGACGUGCUCACGGCGCACCCCGCGGCCCCCGGGCCCGUGUCGAGAGUUUAUUCUAGGGACAGGAAUCAAAAAUGCGG